ACGUAAGGGGCGAGCGUUGUCCGGAAUUACUGGGCGUAAAGGGUGCGUAGGUGGCCUUUUAAGUUGGAUGUGAAAUACCCGGGCUUAACUUGGGGGGUGCAUCUAAUACUGGAGGGCUAGAGUGCAGGAGAGGAAAGCGGAAUUCCUAGUGUAGCGGUGAAAUGAGUAGAUAUUAAGAGGAAGACCAGUGGCGAAGGCGACUUACUGGAAUGAAACUGACGCUGAGUCACGAAAGCGUGGGGAGCGAACAG
rnacentral:rRNA from 1 species